UUUCUUCAGAAGCAUAGUAGAGAUGCGAAGUACACGUGCACAAGCAAGGGACAUGGUCCAACCAUGAAACUUCAGAAGCUCAAUGUCUUUCUCGGCAUCAAGAGAGUUUAUGUAUGCAAUUGUCUCAGCAGAGUAAGGUUGUUGUGCUUGAGGCCAGUAGAGCCAAUCAAAAGUACAAUCUUCAAACUGUAUUAGAAAAGGGGGAAAUUAGAGGAUGGGAUGGGGUAAAAAAUGAGUGGGGAACCAUAACUGGAAAAGAAAAAUCAGGGCACGGAGAAGUAGUCUUGAUUAAUGCAAUCACAUUCCACAAAUUGGCAGAUAACACAAGAAGCAUAGGAUGAAAGACUGAAUCAACACCUAGUGUACCAUGAUCUAGAGUGAAUGAGCAAAAAAUGAUGCAUACCAGGGAAUACUCUCUUAACCUAUAUCAUACUCCUCAUAAAACAUAUAUUCUUCUAAAACUGAUCAUAGAAAAUAUAUACAUCACCAUAGAAGUCAUAAAAAGGCCUGAAAUAGACCCAGUAAAGGGAAUCAGAAGAGAAGUUAAUUAAUACCCAUAUCAUCUUAGGAUAUGCCAUCUAAGAUUACUACGUGCUUCUAUAGUUCUAUUUGGUGAAUAUUGGAUGCUGAGUUGAGACACUUACAUUUUCAGGCAAGCAGUAGCCAUGAUCAAUUGGUAUAAGCACAAGCUGACCAUCCUUAUCAUCUUUCUGAACCAAAAUGUUUCCAGCAUGCCUAUCUGCAUUAGCCAAC
rnacentral:lncRNA from 1 species